rnacentral:tRNA from 1 species
GCCUUGGUAGCUCAGCAUCAGAGCACCGGUUUUGUAAGCCGGCGGUCGGAGGCUAGAAUCCUCCCCAACGCU